GUGCGAGCGUUAAAUCGGAAUUACUGGGCGUAAAAGCGCAAUCCAGGGUGGUUUGUUUAAGUUCAGAUGUGAAAGCCCCGGGGCUCAAMCCUCGGAAGGGUCAUUUGAACCCUGUCAAACUAGAGUACUGUAGAGGGGGGUAGAAUUUCAGGUGUAGCGGUGAAAUGCGUAGAGAUCUGAAGGAAUACCGGUGGCGAAGGCGGCCCCCUGGACAGAUACUGACACUCAGAUGCGAAAGCGUGGGUAGCAAACAGGAUUAGAUACCCUGGUAGUCCACGCCGUAAACGAUGUCUACUUGGAGGUUGUUCCCUAGAGGAGUGGCUUUCGGAGCUAACGCGUUAAGUAGACCGCCUGGGGAGUACGGUCGCAAGAUUAAAACUCAAAUGAAUUGACGGGGGCCCGCACAAGCAGUGGAGCAUGUGGUUUAAUUCGAUGCAACGCG
rnacentral:rRNA from 1 species